AUGCAAUCUUUUGAGGGGAGUUGGCGUAAUUGGUUCUAACCAUAUCCUUUACAAAUUCUUCAUAGGUGGUUGAGCACUUUGCUUUGGAAUAUGGAGGGAAUCUCGGAGAGAAUCUGUUCUUUGCCUCUUCUAGUUUCUGAUGGCUGUGGACAUGCAUCUGAAUAAUCCUGGAUGAUUUCUUCAUCUCAGGAUCCUUGACUUAAUUACAUCUGCAAAGAUCCUUUUUCCUAAUAAGAAAUUGUCUUCUCCACACACAGAAAACCACAAUUGUCCACUCUACAUCCAGACUGGACUUCUGCUUUUGCUGGAUCCCCUCCCUGGAGACUGAGGCUCUGCUACUCAUGGACAGUCCUCCUGAAUGGUGGCCUGACACCUCAUUGUGGAGAACUGAGAGAUACCUAUUUGUUUCUAAGUCACUGAUACUGACUUGUGCCAUGGGAAGCUAUCCAAUGUUUUGUAUCUUCUCACUUAGCCAACCCAGCUAUCAGGACCUGUUCUAUUUUAUUUAGCAGGUGGGUCUGGAAUUGUAGCUGUGGUAUUCUAGAUGCCAGGAUCUGGCUACUUUAUCUUCUUGUGCAG